AUCGAUUGAAAAAUAAAGGUUCUGGAAAUUUUUUUGUAAAAAAUACGUUAGUUCGUCUGUGCCAAUUUUCUUUUAUAAUUUUUAAACUAUAAUUCAUAGUUAUAUACUUACAAUGGGAAAAAUUUAGCAUAAUUAGUACUCUAUUUAAAUUGACCUCUCCGAAGAAAAUCGAAAUCGCAUUAAUCCCGUGCCGAGAGGUUAUAUUUAAUAAAAAUUAGGGAGUCACGUCGAUAUUUAGAUCCCCGUCGCGAAGGUAGUUCAUUCUACGACGGUGGCGCCACGUUAUUUCCAGGUUCCAUUGCGAUCACGUUUCGUCUUGGGUGAAGUUUAGUAAAUUUUUCAUUUACGUUCAUCGGUCCAUUUAUAUUGUUUUUAAUUGUUUAUUUUAUUGAUUUCGAAGACAUUCUUCCACCUCGUGGAAUUGGGAUCUUCGUGGGAUCAUUUUACCCUCUUUUAUCGUUUAAUUUAUCUUGAUUUCAGGUUACCUUCAGUUCGACAUCGGUAUGGGGCCACCGAAGAAGUUGAAGGGGGCGGCUCUGAGUUCCCCCGUAAUGCUAAAAUUCUUAGACUAGAAUGGAGCAUUCGGUUUAUUGGUUUAUUAGCCCCCUAACC